GACGAACGCUGGCGGCGUGCUUAACACAUGCAAGUCGAGCGGUAAGGCCCUUUCGGGGGUACACGAGCGGCGAACGGGUGAGUAACACGUGGGUGACCUGCCCUCAGCUCUGGGAUAAGCCUGGGAAACUGGGUCUAAUACUGGAUAUGACUCCACGGUGCAUGUCGUGGGGUGGAAAGCCUUGUGCGGCUGAGGAUGGGCCCGCGGCCUAUCAGCUUGUUGGUGGGGNGAUGGCCUACCAAGGCGACGACGGGUAGCCGGCCUGAGAGGGCGACCGGCCACACUGGGACUGAGACACGGCCCAGACUCCUACGGGAGGCAGCAGUGGGGAAUCUUGCGCAAUGGGCGAAAGCCUGACGCAGCGACGCCGCGUGAGGGAUGACGGCCUCGGUGU
rnacentral:rRNA from 1 species